GUAAUGGAUGCUUUAGUUUCAUAUUUACUCUUGGAUAUUGGGCAAUGGCAACACAGCCAUUGCAUUGUAUUUUGGAAAGAUUUCGAUAUUUUAAAUUUCAAUAUGAUAUGCGCCAGAAAACUGAAUGCUCUUUUCAAGACUCUCGUGUCUACAGAUACAACAGUCAUUAUGCGAAAGAACAGUUACUGCAUGUAGCAUUUUCCUCUGAGAUAAAAGCUGUGCGAGUUUCUGCAGCUUAGCUUGACAAGCCCAAGACGUUUCUAAGGUGUGCUUCUUGCGAAAUUUGAAUCUACUUAUGGUGGGUGUCCAAUACUUCAUCUGACAUCUUUAGAUGUGCUUGACUAAAUGAUAAAUGAGGAUGCUAUUGAAGUCUUUGAAGUUUUUUCUAAGCAUUUAAUGCAUUAGUUCCAAAAUCAACUUACUUUACGUGGAAGUACGAAGCCAAGCUACGCAGAUUACUCGGCUCCAAUUCUUCCAGAGAAACAAAGUUUACAAGAUGCCUGAAUUCCAGCAAAGGAUGCGCUCAUUGAUGGGAAGUUCGUUCAUCAAUUAUUGUUCAACAGGACGCCAUGUGUAAUGGAAUCUCGCUAAAUACAAGUUACUCCAGGGAUUACACGAAGCCCAUGAUUAUUCAAUCUAAUCGGCCUGGGAUUCAUCGGUAAAAGAGCCUUUUGUAACCUCAAA